GAUGAAGAACGCAGCGAAAUGCGAUAAGUAAUGUGAAUUGCAGAAUUCAGUGAAUCAUCGAAUCUUUGAACGCACAUUGCGCCCGCCAGUAUUCUGGCGGGCAUGCCUGUUCGAGCGUCAUUACAACCCUCAGGCCCCCGGGCCUGGCGUUGGGGAUCGGCGGAGCCCCCCGUGGGCACACGCCAUCCCCCAAAUGCAGUGGCGGUCCCGCCGCAGCUUCCAUCGCGUAGUAGCUAACACCUCGCGACUGGAGAGCGGCGCGGCCACGCCGUAAAACACCCAACUCUUCUGAAGUUGACCUCGAAUCAGGUAGGAAUACCCGCUGAACUUAAGCAUAUCAAUAAGCGGAGGA
rnacentral:misc_RNA from 1 species